CCAUCGUCAGAUUAGAGUGGUCUGCCUCAUCUCAACUGCUUCCACAUCACUGCAGAAGUCACUUUUAAGGGAUUUCCUUGAGCCAUCAGAUGCAGGUGCUCUUCAAAGAUCAAAAGAGACCAAAACUGUGAUUUGAAUUCGUAGAACAUGAAUUUCCUCCACAUGUUGUUCUGGCUCACAGACCGGUCUUUUGACCUGCUUUCAUCAAACGAAUGUCGAGCUGAUUCCAGUUAACAUAACGGCCUGCCGUGAAGAUACAGCGGCUCAAAGGGGGUACGGCUUCGCUCUGCAAUCUAGGGCCUCCUAACAAGAACACGAACUUGCGAAAGUGAAAACAGGAGAGGAGCAAAAACAAAGGUCUGACUGUAAAACCCUGAAAACUUCCAGCUCAGCAUUCACUCCUUUAAAUCAAAGUGCCGCCGUUGAGACCAAACAAUUUUUUCUUACAGUGUGAGAGAAAGAGAGAAGGCAGGAGGAGACGUGAUGCUGUGGACUUUCCUCAUCAUGGGCCACCAGCCUACUCACCACAAGCCUUCAUUGACGAUCUGGGCUCCUAGACGUCCGUUGAGGGUGGAAGAAUUUGGCAUUGUUGGAAGUCUAAAAAAAAGCAUGUCGGCUUUUCAGAAAUGAUGAUUUCAAGAUCCGCCAAUUCAUUCUUAUCUGGGCCAAGAAUGAAUGUUUGAUAUCUGGAUAUCGUUAACUUGAGGUACACUGUGUUGCUUGGAGUUACAGCAUAUCUAAUUACUGGUGUUAAUGACAGCCUUGAAACUGAUGUUCUGAUAC